AAUCACUUUACAGUAAAACAAUCAUUUACAACUAUAAUACGUAUAAAAAAUAUAUUUUCCUGGCAGGGCGUUCCAUAGCUGUGGGGAUCUGAUAAAGGAUUCUACUUUUGCUUCUACACCUUAGAUACCCCUCGACCUUUUCCACUUUGUGUUUACAGCCUUAAUUUAAAAUGGAUUACAUUGUUGUUGUUUUUCUCACCAAUCUACACCCCAAAAUGACAAAGUGAAAACAUGUUUUUUAGAAAUCUGCUAAUUUAUUGACAAUGAAAUACAGAAAUAUCUUAAUUGACAUAAAUAUUCACACCUCUGAGUCAAUACAUGUUAGUAUCACCUGUGGCAGUGCUUAUAGCUGUGAGUCUUUCUGGGUACGUCUCUAAGAGUUUAACACCUGGAUUGAACAACAUUUACAGAUAAUUAUUUUAAAAAUUCUUUAAGAUCUGUUAAGUUGGUUGUUGAUCAUUGCUAGAAAACCACUGUUUUACGGCUGUAACACCAGGUAUUGUUCUAGACCAGCUUCUUGGCUGUAACACCAGGUAUUGUUCUAGACCAGCUCCUUGGUUGUAACACCAGGUAUUGUUCUAGACCAGCUCCUUGGUUGUAACACCAGGUAUUGUUCUAGACCAGCUCCUUGGUUGUAACACCAGGUAUUGUUCUAGACCAGCUCCUUGGUUGUAACACCAGGUAUUGUUCUAGACCAGCUCCUUGGUUGUAACACCAGGUAUUGUUCUAGACCAGCUCCUUGGUUGUAACACCAGGUAUUGUUCUAGACCAGCUCCUUGGUUGUAACACCAGGUAUUGUUAUAGACCAGCUCCUUGGUUGUAACACCAGGUAUUGUUCUAGACCAGCUCCUUGGUUGUAACACCAGGUAUUGUUCUAGACCAGCUCCUUGGUUGUAACACCAGGUAUUGUUCUAGACCAGCUCCUUGGUUGUAACACCAGGUAUUGUUAUAGACCAGCUCCUUGGUUGUAACACCAGGUAUUGUUGUAGACCAGCUCCUUGGUUGUAACACCAGGUAUUGUUAUAGACCAGCUCCUUGGUUGUAACACCAGGUAUUGUUAUAGACCAGCUCCUUGGUUGUAACACCAGGUAUUGUUAUAGACCAGCUCCUUGGUUGUAACACCAGGUAUUGUUAUAGACCAGCUCCUUGGUUGUAACACCAGGUAUUGUUCUAGACCGGCUCCUUGGUUGUAACACCAGGUAUUGUUCUAGACCGGCUCCUUGGUUGUAACACCAGGUAUUGUUAUAGACCAGCUCCUUGGUUGUAACACCAGGUAUUGUUAUAGACCAGCUCCUUGGUUGUAACACCAGGUAUUGUUCUAGACCAGCUCCUUGGUUGUAACACCAGGUAUUGUUAUAGACCAGCUCCUUGGUUGUAACACCAGGUAUUGUUAUAGACCAGCUCCUUGGUUGUAACACCAGGUAUUGUUAUAGACCAGCUCCUUGGUUAUAACACCAGGUAUUGUUAUAGACCAGCUCCUUGGUUGUAACACCAGGUAUUGUUGUAGACCAGCUCCUUGGUUGUAACACCAGGUAUUGUUCUAGACCAGCUCCUUGGUUGUAACACCAGGUAUUGUUGUAGACCAGCUCCUUGGUUGUAACACCAGGUAUUGUUCUAGACCAGCUCCUUGGUUGUAACACCAGGUAUUGUUCUAGACCGGCUCCUUGGUUGUAAC